AUUGAACGCUGGCGGCAGGCUUAACACAUGCAAGUCGAGCGGGGGAAGGUAGCUUGCUACCGGACCUAGCGGCGGACGGGUGAGUAAUGCUUAGGAAUCUGCCUAUUAGUGGGGGACAACAUCUCGAAAGGGAUGCUAAUACCGCAUACGUCCUACGGGAGAAAGCAGGGGAUCUUCGGACCUUGCGCUAAUAGAUGAGCCUAAGUCGGAUUAGCUAGUUGGUGGGGUAAAGGCCUACCAAGGCGACGAUCUGUAGCGGGUCUGAGAGGAUGAUCCGCCAACCUGGGACUGAGACACGGCCCAGACUCCUACGGGAGGCAGCAGUGGGGAAUAUUGGACAAUGGGGGGAACCCUGAUCCAGCCAUGCCGCGUGUGUGAAGAAGGCCUUAUGGUUGUAAAGCACUUUAAGCGAGGAGGAGGCUACUUUAGUUAAUACCUAGAGAUAGUGGACGUUACUCGCAGAAUAAGCACCGGCUAACUCUGUGCCAGCCGCCGCAGUAA
rnacentral:rRNA from 1 species